GAGAGAGAGAGAGAUCUGUACACUCAGAGGGGUCCCCACAGUCCUCCCCACACCAGGGCUGCCUUCCAACUCAAACAAGCCUUGGGGUCUGGAGGCAUUUACCUAGUGCCUCUGGAAGAGUCUAAACAUCUUUGGGAUACUCAGGAGAAAGGGAAUUUAGCACCCCACGCCCAAGUUUGCUCUUCUCCUCCCCCACACCUCACACCUCGCUAAGUCCGGACUUUGGCUAGAAUUCCUAGGUAGCCUUUGGAGUUUAGGGGUGAUCAAGAGAUGUAAGUGGUCCAGGAAGGCUCUGAGCCCAACCUGGCCGCAGGAUGUGCACACCCUGGACAGCUAUGGACCACAGCUCAGACUGUUGGACUCUGAGAGGAGCCACUUCAGGGUGGGACUGAUCAGAUGUCAGAGGUCCUGGCACCUGGGGGAGGGGAAGCGAGGAUAGGAUUAUCAUUCCACCGUUACCUAAUACUGCUGUGUCCCUUGGUUGAGAGCCUAUGUACGGCUUGUUAUGUAUUUUAGGGCACGAAUUGAGAAGAGCAUGUGGACAGUCCUGAUUCGUGUAUUGUCAUUAAUGCAUAGAGCCGAAGGAGCCUGGUAAUUACAUGUGCAAGUAUCCAGAGUGUAGCGCGCUCCCAAGACACCUUUGUGCGGUGUAUGUUGAGGUUGUGCAAUAAUGCAGCAGAGGUGCAGAGAGGCGGUGUGAACUGCAGGGUGUGAAGUGUUGUUCCCUCUCCUUCAGACUCUUAAACAUUCUACACCCCCAACCCCCAGGGAUACACAUUAAACCACCCUAGACACACAAUCCUCCCCUCCCCCCACACCGCAGCCAGCCUUCUCUGAAAACUGAUACCCUGAGGCCCUUUUCCCUCACCAGCCACAAUUAGGGGAAGUAUGAGGGAAAAUGCGGACUGGAUCCAGGCACAGAGGCAGUGCUCUGUCGUUUUUCCUUACUUAGUAGGCCGCUGUUCCAGCUCCAGGCCUUAUAUUUUAUCUGACUUUGCUACUCCAGGAAACAGCUUUAGGCUCCUGCGAGUCCAGGCCAAUUCCACUUCUCACUGCGAAGUCCAUUUUGUAUUUUCUGUUUCACCCUCGUCAAGUCUCAGCCGUGGCUGUUGUUCUCAAUCCAGCUCAGAAACUGGCUCAAACCGCCCUGAACUGGAUUUGGUGGCUGUUGAGACACAGUUUCUGCCUCUUUGUUAGGGCGGAUCCGGCCUCAUUUGCUCGUCAGUUUCCCUCCCUCCUGUUUUCCCAGAGUCACCACCAGCAAUUCCCCUCCCCCUGCCUCUCCAGUUUGGCAUUUUUUUACCCUUCCCUGGGCCAAGGCCCCAUGAAGUAGAUUAAAUUCUUUAAUAAAAUAGUGGAUUUAGGUUGUAAACCUUCAGCUUUUGCGACAUUAACUGUUUUCUUUUUAUUUUUUUCAAAUUUGUUAUCUAACCAAUUGACAUGGUGCCCUUAAAAUCUUGGCUCUCGUUCUAACCUAGAAAUAUCUUAAAAUUUCACUCUAGAUGGAAAGAACUUUAAAUUUCACAUAAAAGACUGAAAGGUGUUGGUGUAUUACAUUGUUAAUUUGUUUUGUAACUAUGUAAAUAAAAAUAAUUUAUUCAUUUCUUUGUUGAGAAAGGACAAAACAUAAUAUAUAUAGAAUUUUUUAACAGUUACUUGUACUGGCUGUUGCAACCUCACGAUUCCCAGAGAAAAAACUGAAGACUUGAGAUUGUUUUGGUUUUUGAACAUGUAAUUUUAACCCUGGAUCAGAUUCUGUGAAUUGUUUAGUGGGGAAGGCUGUUCGGAGAAUGCGCGGGAACCAUUUCUAACCUAAUGCAGGUGGAGGCAAAACUCAGAAUGUGACGGAAGGAGGAGAGGACAGGGCUGGGCUUUUAUAAGUUUUCUUUGUAUGAAAUGUAAGCAUUUCUUAUGUUUUGGAAUGAGAGAAGGGGCUGAUUAUGCAAUACUGUGGAGGUAAUAGAUGUACACUCUAAAAUGGCUAAUUUUCUGUUAUUGUGGAUUUUACCUCAGUCUUAAAAUUUAAGCGUUUUCUGGACAAUAAUUUUUCUUUUUCUUCUUGUGGUUUUAAAAUAUCAGAAGAGAGAUAAUAAGCAACCAUAUUCGGGGUGUGGCUGUAUUAGGUGCUUGACGACUCUCUGGUCUCCCUCUGGUGGCCAAAGUGAGCAGUGUGUCACGAUGUCGCAAGGCCUUUUGAGCCUGUCUCAAUUAUAUGUCGAAGCACAAACUCUGGGCUGCUUUACUCAGAAUCGUCCUCAAUGCCUUGUUUCGUGUUCAUUUUGUCUUACUUACGUGGUUGGUACAGGGCUCUUUUACUGAACAAGGAUCACAGAUGUUUUGCUUCUGCAGUGUUACAAAGGAUUAAUUAUAACUGAGCAACUUAAAAUUCAGCCCUACAUCUCAAAACAGAAUCAAAACGUCAUUUUUCCUAGGCUAAAAACCCGAGUUAAAUUGCUCAUUUAAGUGUUUAGUUUCAGUAGAUCAUAAAGCCCUGGAAAAAAGCCAAUGAUAACAGUAGAUCUGGAAAAGCUAUUUUUAAUAUGCACUAGAAGACGGCUGGCUUUGUCUAGUGAUUCACUACCCCGAGAAAGAAAAAAAUGUACAUAAAAAAGGGAAUUUUGGCUUCUCCGUGAAGAAGUACCGUGACAAAGCUCAAGAGAACACAAUCUUUGCUUUAUUUUGUUUGGCUUAAAAUAAAAAUUUUAAGAAGUAUCACUUAAAUGUCUGUAGUUGCAAAAGUGCAACAUGCCA